AGCACACAUAGUUGUAUAUUUUAGUUGUGGGUCCUUCUAGUUGUGGCAUGUGAGAUGCUGCCUCAGUGUGGCCUAAUGAGCGGUGCCAUGUCUGUGCCCAGGAUCCAAACCCACGAAACCCUGGGCCACCGAAGCAGAGCGCGUGAACUUAACCACUCCGCCACUGGGCUGGCCCUGAUAUUUUACUGUUUUGAUACCAGUCCUCAAAAUCCAGGAUGCAUUUUACACUCACAGCACAUUGCGCUUUGGACUAGGCACAUCCCGGUGCUCAGUAGCCCCGUGUGGCUUGUGGCUGCCCCCCUGGACCUCACGGGCCUGUUCAGCAGAGUGGUGGCCAGUCUUGCAGCCUUCCUCUUCUCCAAAUAUUCCUUUGUAAUUUUUUUUUCAAUCCCUGUAUGUAGAGUUAGUUGGAAGUGGUUAAUUUUAAAAUUUUGCCAUAAAUCCAUGUAACGUCCCAGAACAAAACGAGCCGAAAUCACACCUUACCAAACCAAAUGUCCCCCAUAGUGUUCCUGAAUAAAAAGCUGAAUGUGAACCUGAAUUUGAUUUGGGGUUAUUUUUCCUCAGGCAACCAAACGGGUGGGCCUUGUGGGGUUUCCCGGAAACCAGCCUUUCCCGCCUCCCAGGAUGCGUUUUGUAGGUGAAGCUGGACACAGGGGUGGAGAACGGAACUCACACUUGACCGAUUAACACACUAAAUAGACUCCAUAACCAGACGUGUUAAAAGAUAAGCAUACAUUUCAAGUUUUCUACUCAAACUGUCCUCAGUUUGCUUAUACCUGCAUUAGGACCAUUUUUCAUUUCCUUUCGCUUUAAAGCCCUUUUCAGUACGAAGUUCCAUGGAUCUCUGAUUCUCUGUGCCCAAACAGCAGCCACAGGAGGCUCCAUCUCCGUGCUUCCCAGGCUCACAGCCAAGAGGGUGACGAUAGCAAACGUUUAAAGUCACAUGUUCAAAACAUAGUCUUGCAUGAAACAGAAUGUGGGGUGGGAGCGUCUCUGAAGCGUGCGGAGGCCCCGUGAUAGAAGGUACCUGCCACAGCAGGGGAGAACCACACCAACCGAAUGGAAAGGCGUUUCUUUCCGUCUUCUGUCAUUCCUUCUCCAGAUGCUCUCCUGAAGAAGUCAAUAGGAGAAGAGGUGGUGGGAAAGGAAAUCAAGCAAGGAGAGCAAAAGAAAACAUGAAACUGCAAGCCCCGCUUGCUGCUCCUCUGUGCAUUCCAGGGCCGCUUAGAGUCUGAGCUGAUCUUGGGGAAGGAGGUUGAACUAGCUGCUUGAUGAAUGCCUGUUGCCUGACUUGAAAGAGGCCAUCCAUUGUGAAGAAAGGUUACAAGAAUAAUACAAAGAAGAGUGACAUCAGCAUCACGGCAGAGUGAACUUGUGUGACUCUCUCCCUUCCAACAUACAACAAAAAGGGAAAUCCAUACUCCAACAGAAGACACCCCAACAUAAUACAAAAACCUCUGAGACACAUGCAGCCAUAUGACAAGGGGUGGACAGGCUGGAGCCCCCCUCAGAGGAGGUGGAAUGGGGUAAAAGAGAUCUUUGCUCCCUCCCCUAAAGACUGAACUUGUGACUGUGGGAGGAACCACAAGAGAAGGAGUGGGUGAGGGAUUGCUCAUUGGUGGGAUCAACCAGGACUCCCUAGGGCUCAUGCAGCCUAGAUGGAAGCCCUCUAAUGGGGGAAAAGCUUUUGUGGGGAGUGACCUCAUCAAGCCAACAAGCCAAGAGACCACAUAGGGA
rnacentral:lncRNA from 1 species